CAGCAUCCGUUUCCUGCCCCAACUCGGCUCCUCGCUAGGGGCCCACUUGAGCGACUCUUCUGUGUCCUCGCUACGGGAUCCUCCCUGGGUCUCCCUUGAAACCCGAGGCUUCUGCGGCUCCUGGAUCUCUGUCCCCAUCCGCAGACUUUGCCCCGGCGUCCACUGUGGGAUCAUCAAAGGACGGGAAGAAACUGAGGUUCAGGAAGCUUCAAUCUCAUGCUGUGGGCUCACACAGCUUUUACAUGGCAAAGGCACACCUUGAACCUGGGUCUACUACACUGACCCUCCUACAUCCUGCUCCCAGCUGGCUGUAUGGCCUUCAGCAUGCCUGGACCUCUGAUGCUUCGAUUUUCAAAAAAGAGAGACAGGAAGAAUCUUGGGACAGACACCCUCAAGAGUUGGGAGUAACAAAGAAGGAGAAAACAACAACAAAUUUUUGAAGAGCGGAAGCCAGAUAGUUGAGUGGUAACUGACCUAACAGAUUCAAGAAUACUGACUCCUAAGCAGGUAAUGGAAAAAGCCAAGAACGGCCUGUGUCAAAUUGCGGACUUCUCACAGGGUUCAAGAAUUUGUAGUUUCAGGCAUCUCUGGCAGUUAAGGUUAAGGGAAAGCUUAAAAAAAAAAAAAGAGUGUUUAAAGCCAUUCAAGUAAUAGCUCUCUAAACUCUCUCCCCAGUUCCAUCCAUGUCACUGAGCUAUUUAUUACCCAUCCUAGCCUCAGCAGAAGACUGGAAGUUUAUUCUCUAGACAGAAUAACACUGAGGGGCUCUGGACUGGUGGGACACUUGACACAGUUGGGAAUGAAGACACUAAAAACAGGAGAAUUAAGUGAUUCCAUGCAUAUUAAAUGCUGAGAACCUCAGCCCUAUUCCCUCACUCCCAGAAAGGGGGUGACCAGGCCUGUCUGUAGGGUACAAGCUUUCUCCAUGGGUUACAUCAGAAAUCUAUAGAUGCCAAUUAUCAGAGGCUGCCUAACAAACACCCCAGGCAAAUCAUCCUAUAGCAACAUCCUCUAUCACCACAGCCAGUGAGUCUCUCCACUUCACAUGGCUUCCAAUCAGUGUUUUAGUCCACCACUUGUAAACAUAAGCAGACAACCAAGGAUUGGCAGAAAUCUGAGAAAAGCCUCUAAAAUGAGACAGAGAUCCCCCAGAAAGAGGGUAGAGAGGGAGUGGCUGGAUGGCUCAGUCAGCUGAGUGUUUGACUCUUGGUUUUGGCUUAGGUUAUGAUCUCACGGUUUGUGGGUUGGAAGCCCCUCAUUGGGCUCUGUGCUGACAGUGCAGAGCCUGCUUGGGUGUCUCUGUCUCCCUCUCUCUUUUCCCCUCCCUUGCUCUUUCCCACAUGCUCAUGCACUAUCUUUCUCUCAGAAAUAAAUAUAAAUAAAUAAAUAAAUAAAUAAAUAAAUAAAUAAAUAAAUGGCAGAGGAAAAAAAAAGCAAUUUGGAAGAACAGAGAUUAUGUAGGGAAAUGAAAAUUUCCAAAAACAGAAACAAAACUAAUGAUAUCCUGAGUGAGCUAACAUCAUAUUUCACCCAUGAAGAAAGAAUUGCAUGUUCUAAAAAGUAACAUUUGUAGAACCAAAAAACUCUUGAAAAGUAAAACUACAGAAGCAGAAAUGAAAAACUCAAUAGAAGAAUUGAAAAAUAAAGUUGAGGGAAUAUCUUGGAAAUUAUAGGAAGAGGGACGCCUGGGUGGCUUAGUUGGUUAAGCAACUGACUGGCUCAGGUCAUGAUCUUGUGGUUUGUGGGUUCGAGUCUCGAAUCGCGCUCUGUGCUGACAGCUCAGAGCCUGGAGCCUGCUUCAGAUUAUGUGUCUCCCUCUCUCUCUGCCCCUCCUCCACUUGCACUCUGUCUCUCUGUGUCUCAAAAAUAAAUUUAAAAAAAGUUAAAAGAAAUUAGAGGAAAAUAUGAAAGGAAGGAAAAUAUAAGAAAAAAGAUAAGAAAAUUAGAGGAUGAAUUCAGGAGGUGCAAAAUCCAAAUAAUACUUUCCUAAAGAAAGAACAGAGAAUAUUAAGAGAAAUCAAUCAUCAAAUAAGGAACUAAAAUUACUUAAAUAAUUACUGAAUUAUUUUUUCACUGAAUCGAAGACAUAGAUUUUCAGAUUGAAGGGACAUAAUGAGUAUCUAGAGCAAUGGAUGAAAACAAACCAAUAUAAUAUUGAGAAAUUAUAGAACACUAAGGACAAAGUGAAAAUUCUAUAGGCUUUCACAAAGGAAAGAAUUACAUCAAAAGAUCAGGAAUUAGACAUCUCUGCCUUCUUUAUUGUUAUUUUUCCCUUUAUUUAUGGGUGUUUUUAUUUUUUUUGAGAGAGAGACAGAGUGCAAGUGAGGGAGGGGUAGAGAGAGUGGGAGACACAGAAUUCGAGGCAGGCUUCAGGUUCAGAGCUGUCAGUACAGAGCCUGAUGAGGGGCUUAAACCCAUUAACCAUGAGAUCAUGACCUGAGCCAAAGUCGGACAAUUAACCUACUGAAUCACGCAGACACCUCACCUCUGCCUUUUUGAUGGCAACAAUAGAUGCUGGAAGACAAUGCAGAAGGACCUUCAAGAUUCUGAAGAAAAAUGAUUUCCAAUUUGGAAUGUUAUACCUAGCUAAGCUAUCAAUCCAAGGUCAGACAUGCAAGGUCUUAACAUUUUUACUUCUCAUGACCUUUCUAAGGCAGUUACUGGAGGAUAUGCUCCAUGAAAAGAAGGGAAUAAAUCAAGAAAAGGAGUGAUGAGAUACAAGAAACAGGACUUCUAACACAGGAGAGAGGUGAAGGGAUGCCCUAAGAUGAUGGUGAAGGGAGAUGUCAGGAUGAUAUCUAUGUUCUCUGUGUAGAAGGCAACAAGUCCAAAGUGGAGCAAAUCACUGGGAUUUUGGAGAGAUUUCUUCAAGAAGAUGAAAUUGAUAGAAUAUCUAAAGGAAUUAAUGUUUUGAGAAAGGAUAUAGGUAACAUAAGCUGAUGAGUAAUAAGCAGAUGACUAAUUUAAGGUCAUAUUAUUAAGCAAAUAGAAAACUAAGUCAAAUAAAAACCAGCACAAUUUUUAGCUUUAGGGAAAACAGAAAGCUGUGCAAAGAAAAGAAAAGUGACCAUAGUUUAUUGCCCAGCUCAGACCUUAUUAGCAUACAUAAACAUAAGAGUGUAAAUACUGAAUAAUGAUUUUUAAAAAUCUAAAAUACAACUGUAUUUGUAUUAAAGUGUGUGGUGUGGGCUGGAGGAGGAAAGUGAGCUCAAUGUUUUUUUUCUAUGGUGGGAAAUCAAUGCCUAAAACUAAAAAAAUCCACAAGCAGCCUUUUGAGUGUGAUAUUUGGAGAUAUGGAAGAACCUGACCCCCCCCCCCCAAAAAAAAUAGCUAAAAGAAAAGCCUCUGGAAAAGGGGAAUGGAAGGAAGAUGAUAUGAAGGCAGUUUUUUUCCUUAACAUGUUUUACAAAGGAAAUUGACAAUGUACAUAUAUAACAUUGACAAAAA